AGGGGGCAUGCUUGUUUCACCUUAAUAAGUGAUAAAGGAUUCAAAUUUUAAAUCAGAAGUAUUGAUCUUGCUACUGAUGUUAAGUAGAAUUUUCUAUUAAAUUUUCAUGUAAUUUGGAUACUUCUACACCGUUGAACUUAAAAAUAUGCCACAUCGACCGUUAAAAUAGUUAUUUUUUAGACCUUUUGAUCGCUUAGUAAAUGAUGUCAAAAAAAUCUAAAAUUUGAUUUUUAGAUAGUUUCAAUAGGGUAGUUCAUACCUAACGGAGCCGAUCGUCGAAUCGAACGUCCUAUCAUUAAAAACAACUUACAAGCACGGGGCCUCCGGUACUUUCGAAAGUACGGAAGACGGACUAUAUAUAUAUAUAUAUAUAUAUAUUUCUAAUAAAAUAAAUAAAAAUGAGAUAAUUA
rnacentral:lncRNA from 1 species